rnacentral:ncRNA from 1 species
CUAAAAGGGUUAGUAGUAUUCCUACUAGCGCUCUAGUGUAGCGAACUAAUUACUAGUCUCCUCUAGAAGUAACACCCUUAAAUUGCAAGAAAAUCCUAAAGCUAGUAUCACUAAGCCAGCGCUAAAAGGGCAUUAGUAGCUAGGGUAGCGACCUAGGGUAUGGUAAAAGCACACUAGAUAAUAUAAUAGAUAAUCUAUAGCCAAGCCUUAUCGCUAUAGGGUAUAGGGAAGGUUUAGAGACUAUAUAGGGGUAGGUAGUAUACUAUCUAGGGGCUCUAGCCCCUAAGCGCCUACUUAUAAUACUACUUAAGAUAUAGUCUAGCUAUGCUAAAAAUAGUAUA